rnacentral:lncRNA from 1 species
CAAGUCCUCAACUGGCAGCUUCAUUAAAUAGUACCUGCAAAACAACAGUCUCAACAUCAACAGUGAAGAGGCGACUCCGGGAUGCUUUAUCCUGACUCUUGGUGCAAGCCUCGUGCUCCGAGAACUUCACCACACCUAUCACCUCAGAUACUUCGCCCUCAUUCACUUCCAUUUCUCCUCCUGUCUUCAGCUCACUCUGCUUACACUUUCCAGCAUUCUUCUUUAACAAAUCAUGUCCCUUUUUACCGCCAUUUUUAACCGACUCAAGGUCACCAUCUUCCUCCCUCUCUCUGACCUCCUCUGCCCCUCUUUUUUCCUCCGCCGUAUUCCAAGUCUCCUUGUGAUAAUACUGCACUUCUCCUGACAUAUCUUGUUCUUUCUUUCUCAAGGGACGCCAUUUAACCGGCUCUCACAAUCUCCAUACAAUCAGCAUGAACCCCUCGGGAUGUAGCGCUCAACAGUGCAUCCAAAUGCCAAAACCCAUGAAAUUAUAUUUUCCACAACUUGGACAUCUCUGUUUCUCCCUUCUGCAAACACUUGCAACAUGAACAAAAGCUUUAUAGUGACCGCUAUUUCUUGUCCCGGAAUCCUGCUUAACUGACAGGUUAAAGUCUUCUUGAAAGAGCCGCUAAUGGCUAACGAAGUUAGUCCCAGAUGAGUUUUCCAAUGGAGCCCUCUUUGUCUGGAGAAGUAAAUGAACGGUUCCAGCACCGUAGGAGCUGUAUCUACUACGCUUUGUUUUGGAGGACAAACUGGAUCACCCAAAGUUCCAAUGCGGCAAUUGUAACUAAUAACUAAUAGUUUAGCCGCAUUAGAGCCUGACCUUCCUGCACCUUCGUCGCUGGGGGUACCUGUGUCUUUCGGCCGCUGUGCCUACUCCUACUCCUUCCCCUAUGAUUUCGAAGUCAACGUCGGCAACCUUCCAUCCCUGCUCUGGAUUGAGCGGGGCUUCUCCAUCUGUCGGAGGCCUGCACCAUCCUAUGAAGCGUUGGUGUCACGCCCUGACCAGCUGCGUUUUGGUCCGCUUCCUCGUCACCAGGCGACGAACGUUACAGAACACCCCACCGAACCAGGACCAAGCAGCGGGAGGAAAAGGAGCGCGAGAGAUGGGCUCGCGAGGGGAAGGAGUUCUGGACCUGGGAGGAGAUCAUGUCGGGGAAAGGACCCUGGCGGAAGGAUUCCCAGGUCGAGGAGGUAAAGCCAGCCGGUAGACGGAGUCGCAGGCGGCGGUCGAGGAGGCCCGGAAAACACCCCCAAGAAUUUUUUUUUGGGGGGGGCUAAUGGGGUGGUCGGGAAGGGCAGAGGAAGAGCCCAGACCACUGCUCUCGUGGGGGAUGACGGCGGAGGAAGAGACGAAGAUGAUGAGGCAGUUGAUUGAGGACCUGCAGAGGGAAGAUCUGGAGGAGGAACCAUGGUAUGCGGAGUACGUGUUCACAGUCCUGUCUGGCCCGUCCCUGCUCCCCGCACCAGGUUGGUGGUGCGUGUCCCCAGUCCUGUCCGGCCCGUCCCUGCUCCCCGCACCAGGCUAGUGGUGCGUGUCCA